CAUUUUUGGGUUAUGUGGGCCAUACGAGCGUGUGGGCCCAAUGGGCCAUAAUAGGGGUCGUGGGCCCAUUAUUACUGAUUGACUGUUAAAGGUUGCACGGGUCACCCAAGAUGACUGUGGACCUACUGUUGGGCCAGUAAGUGUACCCAGACCCUUAUUUUUGUAAAUGACUGAUUUACCCCUACGUGAUAUAUGACUGUGUGAGCAUGCCAUAUUUAUUUUACAUUAUUUUAUAUUAUGUUG
rnacentral:lncRNA from 1 species